rnacentral:rRNA from 1 species
GGGGAAUCUUGCGCAAUGGGCGAAAGCCUGACGCAGCAACGCCGCGUGCGGGAAGAAGGCUCUCGGGUUGUAAACCGCUUUCAGCAGGAACGAAAAUGACGGUACUUGCAGAAGAAGGUGCGGCCAACUACGUGCCAGCAGCCGCGGUGACACGUAGGCACCAAGCGUUGUCCGGAUUUAUUGGGCGUAAAGCGCUCGUAGGCGGUUCGGUAAGUCAGGUGUGAAAACUUUGGGCUUAACCCAAAGCCUGCAUCUGAUACUGCCGUGACUAGAGUUCGGUAGGGGAGUGGGGAAUUCCUAGUGUAGCGGUGAAAUGCGCAGAUAUUAGGAGGAACACCGGUGGCGAAGGCGCCACUCUGGGCCGAUACUGACGCUGAGGAGCGAAAGCGUGGGUAGCAAACAGGA